UUUUAGGUAAACGCUGCAUGUAUAUGUAGAGGAAAGUCCAUGCUCGCACUGUCCUGUAAUGGCAGUAGUGUUUGUGUAUAGGGAAAAAAUAACCUAUAGUAACGUAAGUUAACGACGAAAUUUUAUCCUAAGGUUAAGACUAUGGAUAAAAUUCAUAAAGUACCACAGUGACGAAUUUUUUCGAAAGAAAAAAGUGAAACGUUGGUAAACUCCGCAAGCGAGAAACCCAAAUUUUGGUAGGGGAACCUUUAAAAGGGAAUAAUAACUGAUUAAGGGAUGAUUUUUUAUCAUAGAUAAAUGUUUACCACCUAGAAAUAGGUACAGAACAUGGCUUAUU
rnacentral:RNase_P_RNA from 1 species